CAAAAGUUAGUUUAUAAAGAAUGUUGGCUUUGGGGGCUUAGGGAAUUAUCUUUUGA
rnacentral:tRNA from 1 species